GUGGUCGUAGCUCAGUUGGUAGAGCCCCGGAUUGUGAUUCCGGUUGUCGUGGGUUCGAACCCCAUCGAUCACCCCA
rnacentral:tRNA from 4 species